rnacentral:misc_RNA from 1 species
GCAAAUUAAGAACAAGAAGAAAAAUAGAACUCAAGAUCAAAAAAGUACUCCACUAACACUAUUUUUCCAUUGUAAAUUUCUCAAAUCAUAAUCAAAGGGUUCCAAUAAAUCAACCUCUUCUUUUUUUGCUCUACAUAAAUUUGUAUGUGUGAAAUUUCAGAACCAACAAAAAAGAAGAAAAACAUAAAAAUAUCUACAAAUUAUAAACUCUUGAAAAAUAAUUAACUUGAAACUUCAUCCAAGAGCUUAUAUCUUCUUACCCUAUUUUUAAAUACCUUUCUUGUAAUCCCUCUAAUUGACAUUUCUUCUGAUUUUGUCCUCCUUAUCUUUUCUUCGAUAUUUACCUUAUCAAUUAUGACCCUUUUUCUAGCAGCCAAUAAAGGAGACUUUUGUAAUUUGAUGGGAUUUUUGUUGAUAAGUUGAACCUUCAAAUUACAAUUUGAACCUUUUAUUUUCCCCUUUGGACUUGUUCUUCCAAUAAUAUCAUUAUUUUCACUUCUAAUGAUCAAUUUUUUCUUCAACUUUGGACCAUCUUGAAUAUUAUUAUGAUCACUUGUGGUAUUUUUACAUGAUGAUGAAGAAUUUGAUGAAUUUUGUGUUUUUUCUCCAGAAAUAUCUUUUGGACUCAAGCACCAAUUGCAAAUUUUAUAAGACUCAGCUUUUGGAUACAAAUUGCUACAAUAUCUGUGUUGAGAUCUAAAUUGACAAAUUUUGCAUUUGAAAAGCUCAGAAGAUAAACCAUAGUCUCCACACAUGCAACACUCAAUGGCUCCUCCUCCUCUGUUGAUUGUCAUAUUUAUGUAUCAUUUCUCUUAUUAAAAUAAACUAAAA